UAGGCAUGAGCGCCUGAGAGCAGCACCCCUACCCCCUCCCCAAUCUGGAUGACGAUCCCUGCCUUCCCAGGGAGGGGCAGGCGCAGUCACCGGCCACUCAUCAGGUGGGGAUCGGUCCCGUUCCUGGGAACCCAUGACCAAUUAACCACCUGGUUUCCUCCAAGGGUAGGACAGAGAGUGGGGUGGGGGAGGAGAGGGAUCAGGAAGGGGAAAGAACCAAGACAAGGGAGACAGGGCGACGGUGCCCUGACCCCACGCUCACUGCAGUCAGCCAAGUAGAGAAAUCAACUAGAAAGUUCCUGGAGGGUGGCGCGGACGGUCCGGUCCGUCUGAUGAGGGCCGGCUCUGAGGCUAUAGCACUGUCCUAACUAGACAUUUCUCCUCUGCCACCCUCGGGGGCGUCCACGGAGUGAAUGAAGCGGGCAGGAAGGUAGGGGAAGAGAAGAGGAGACAGCAGAUGGCAUCCGUGUAAGAUCGGAGCUUUGCAGCGGCCUUCCGGCAAGCUUUCCAGCCUAAGCCCCCUGGGUCUCACGGUGCACAGAACUUCACGUUGACGGGAACUACAGCCAGCCUACCCCGCGGCACAGGAGAGAACCUAAAGUUCUAAGUGGCCAGAUGACUCGGUCAAGUUCACAGAGGCUGGCCGUGACGCUGGCAGUCAGCCAACCUGCAAACUCUCCACUUCUCUCCACUCUCCUUCAGUAGAGCCGGUGCGCCACCACUAACUACUGACGUGCUGGUCCCGACCGCGGCACCUGGUGCCAGCACAGAGACUCUCCCUCCUCCUGGCUAAGGUUCUGGAAGAUUCUGAGAAGGGCUGAAGCCCAGGAAGCAUCCCAGGAAGCUGACCCGGUGCCAUCUCCACCCACUGGAAGAUGAGCACAGCCUGGGAAGAGUGGUCCACCUCCGCACCGGGAUCUGCACCCCUUCCCACACGUCUGCCAUCCUUCAAAACUAAGGGCACCUGCGUGGCUCAGCCGGCAAAGCGUCGGACUUCGGCUCAGGUCAUGAUCCGGGAUGCAGUGCCGCGCCGGGCUCCCGGCUCCUCCAAGAGUCGGUUUGUCUCUGCCUCUGCCUUUCCCCCUCCCCUGCUCGUGUUCUUUCUCUCUCUGUCUCUCAAGUAAAUAAAAUCUUUAAGAAACAACUUAAAAA